rnacentral:rRNA from 1 species
UGGGGAAUCUUGGACAAUGGGCGCAAGCCUGAUCCAGUCAUGCCGCGUGGAUGAUGAAGGCCUUAGGGUUGUAAAAUCCUUUCGUUGGGGACGAUAAUGACGGUACCCAAAGAAGAAGCUCCGGCUAACUUCGUGCCAGCAGCCGCGGUAAUACGAAGGGGGCUAGCGUUGUUCGGAUUUACUGGGCGUAAAGCGCGUGUAGGCGGACUUGUAAGUUGGGGGUGAAAUCCCGAGGCUCAACCUCGGAACUGCAUUCAAAACUGACUGACUAGAGUAUGGUAGAGGGUGGUGGAAUUUCCUGUGUAGCGGUGAAAUGCGUAGAUAUAGGAAGGAACACCAGUGGCGAAGGCGACCACCUGGACUGAUACUGACACUGAGGUGCGAAAGCGUGGGGAGCAAACAGGAUUAGAUACCCCCGUAGUCCCUGAGCGGGCUGGCAAGGCGCAU